UACGUAGGGGGCAAGCGUUGUCCGGAAUUAUUGGGCGUAAAGCGCGCGCAGGCGGUUGUUUAAGUCUGGUGUAUAAACCAAGGGCUCAACCUUUGGACGCAUUGGAAACUGGGCAACUGGAGUGUAGGAGAGGAAAGUGGAAUUCCACGUGUAGCGGUGAAAUGCGUAGAUAUCGUAAGGAACGCCAGUGGCGAAAGCGAAUCUCUGGGCAGCAACUGACGCUGAGGCACGAAGGCCAGGGGAGCAAACGGG
rnacentral:rRNA from 1 species